AGAGGCAAGCAUGACAUGUUCGGG
rnacentral:siRNA from 1 species